rnacentral:rRNA from 1 species
UGGGGAAUAUUGCACAAUGGGCGCAAGCCUGAUGCAGCGACGCCGCGUGCGGGAUGGAGGCCCUUCGGGUUUGUAAAACCGCUUUUGUUCAAGGGCAAGGCACGGUCUUUGGCCGUGUUGAGUGGAUUGUUCGAAUAAGCACCGGCUAACUACGUGCC